rnacentral:rRNA from 1 species
GAGGAACGCUGGCGGCGUGCUUAACACAUGCAAGUCGAGCGAUGAAGUUCCUUCGGGAAUGGAUUAGCGGCGGACGGGUGAGUAACACGUGGGUAACCUGCCUCAUAGAGGGGAAUAGCCUUUCGAAAGGAAGAUUAAUACCGCAUAAGAUUGUAGUAUCGCAUGAUACAGCAAUUAAAGGAGUAAUCCGCUAUGAGAGGGACCCGCGUCGCAUUAGCUAGUUGGUGAGGUAACGGCUCACCAAGGCGACGAUGCGUAGCCGACCUGAGAGGGUGAUCGGCCAGAUUGGGACUGAGACACGGCCCAGACUCCUACGGGAGGCAGCAGUGGGGAAUAUUGCACAAUGGGGGAAACCCUGAUGCAGCAACGCCGCGUGAGUGAUGACGGUCUUCGGAUUGUAAAACUCUGUCUUCAGGGACGAUAAUGACGGUACCUGAGGAGGAAGCCACGGCUAACUACGUGCCAGCCGCCGCGGUAA